AUGAUCAGAUUGCUAUACAUACAAUUUUCCUGCUCCUAUUGUCUGUUAUCUAACUAUCUUACACUAUCCAGGCAAACUAAACAAGAAAAAAUACAUCGCCAGGGCUUCUUCAUGCAUCUUCUUCAGAAGCUACAAACAGCAAAUCUGUUGGCUGGCUCCAACAGUAGGCAUGGCGCAGCCAGUGUAGUGGCAAGACGUCACCAUAGAGCUGAGCAAUGCACUCUCGACCUCGAUGGAGGCAUUUCUCCUGAGCAAGCACAUGACAUACUCCAUCACUGCAGCAUCACAAGGCAGUGUGAUCUUGCCUUUGUUUGCAAAGCCAAACUCCUCCUGAGAUAUCCUCAGGAGCUCGCUGAAGACCGUGGUGCUGAGGUACACCAAGGGCACCUCGAAACGCGUCCCGUCGGCCGUGUAAAUGACACAGUGGCCCUUGGCUGGUACAAAACUGCAGCAGUCUUGAUCCUCUUUGGCUGA
rnacentral:rRNA from 1 species